ensembl:lncRNA
GGGCUAUAUAAAUAAAUUUGAUUUGAUUUGGUGAGUUGUAUCUCCAGACAGAGGAACAGUUAUAGUGGUGAGUUGUAUCUCCAGACAGAGGAACAGUUAUAGUGGUGAGUUGUAUCUCCUGAGGAACAGUUAUAGUGGUGAGUUGUAUCUCCAGACAGAGGUACAGUUAUAGUGGUGAGUUGUAUCUCCUGAGGAACAGUUAUAGUGGUGAGUUGUAUCUCCAGACAGAGGUACAGUUAUAGUGGUGAGUUGUAUCUCCAGACAGAGGAACAGUUAUAGUGGUGAGUUGUAUCUCCAGAGGAACAGUCAUAGUGGUGAGUUGUAUCCCCAGAGGAACAGUUAUAGUGGUGAGUUGUAUCUCCAGA